AAACCGUUCAGGGGUAAACCUGAGAAACCCGAAAGAUCGAAUGGGAAGAUUCAGCGUCAGCGGCGCUUGCUUGGCGGAUCGUGCGUCGUCUCGGACUUCUGUCUUGAGACUCGUAUUCUUUCCAUGCCUUGUUUGGCGUCGUCGUCGUGCACUUCUUCCUUAGUAGAACGUCGCGACCCGUUGGGUGUCGGUAUACGGUCCGAGCGGUAGACUGCCGCGUCGCUUCGGCGUACGCGGCAGACCCUCGGUCACCUGACCGGCUGCCCGGCGGUCGAACUUAUAAGGUAUCUUGCCGCAAUUAUCGAACGUGCGUCGGGCCCGUCGCAAGCGAGGCCAGUAUUUAUCGGAGUUACGGACCCGGUGCCGUACCCGUAACUGGCCAGCUGUUUGCAGGCGGAGUCCUUUGACGGGCAAUACACAAUGAUACCGGUCUGCGACGCUACUGCUUUGGGUACUCUCAGGA
rnacentral:rRNA from 1 species